CCUACGGGUGGCAGCAGUGAGGAAUAUUGGUCAAUGGACGAGAGUCUGAACCAGCCAAGUAGCGUGAAGGAUGACUGCCCUAUGGGUUGUAAACUUCUUUUAUAUGGGAAUAAAAUGUUCCACGUGUGGGAUUUUGUAUGUACCAUAUGAAUAAGGAUCGGCUAACUCCGUGCCAGCAGCCGCGGUAAUACGGAGGAUCAGAGCGUUAUCCGGAUUUAUUGGGUUUAAAGGGAGCGUAGGUGGAUUGUUAAGUCAGUUGUGAAAGUUUGCGGCUCAACCGUAAAAUUGCAGUUGAAACUGGCAGUCUUGAGUACAGUAGAGGUGGGCGGAAUUCGUGGUGUAGCGGUGAAAUGCUUAGAUAUCACGAAGAACUCCGAUUGUGAAGGCAGUUCACUGGACUGCAACUGACACUGAGGCUCGAAAGUGUGGGUAUCAAACAGGAUUAGAUACCCUAGUAGUC
rnacentral:rRNA from 1 species